rnacentral:rRNA from 1 species
AGAAUCAACGCUGGCGGCGUGCCUAACACAUGCAAGUCGAACGCGGUUACCCCGCAAGGGGUAACUGAGUGGCGAACGGGUGAGUAACACGUGGGUGACCUACCUUCGAAUGGGGGAUAACGUCCCGAAAGGGACGCUAAUACCGCAUAACAUCCUGUCCUUGAACGGAUGGAGAUCAAAGCCGGGGAUCGUAAGACCUGGCGUUUGAAGAGGGCCCGCGUCCGAUUAGCUAGUUGGUGAGGUAACGGCUCACCAAGGCGACGAUC